rnacentral:rRNA from 1 species
GACGAACGCUGGCGGCGUGCUUAACACAUGCAAGUCGAACGGGUCUGCCCUGUUUUUUGCGGGGUGGGUCAGUGGCGAACGGGUGAGUAACACGUGAGUAACCUGCCCCUCACUUCUGGAUAACCGCUUGAAAGGGUGGCUAAUACGGGGUGUUCUGGCUGUGCCGCAUGGUGUGGCUGGGAAAGAUUCACUUUUGUGGUGUUUUGGUGGGGGAUGGGCUCGCGGCCUAUCAGCUUGUUGGUGGGGUGAUGGCCUGCCAAGGCUUUGACGGGUAGCCGGCCUGGGAGGGUGGGCGGUCACACUGGGACUGAGAUACGGCCCAGACUCCUGCGGGCGGCAGCAGUGGGGGGUAUUGCACAAUGGGCGGAAGCCUGAUGCAGCGACGUCGCGUGAGGGAUGGAGGCCUUCGGGUUGUGAACCUCUUUCGCCGGUGAAGAAGGUCCUGCUCUUUGUGGUGGGGUUGACGGUAGCCGGGUUAUGAAGCGCCGGCUAACUACGUG